CGCUCAUGACCAGUUGCAAUCGGCAUUAUAUUCUCCACUCUUUUCAGUGAAGCCACAUUCCCUAUUCAACACAUUGCAUCUUGCAAAAAUUAAAUCCACAUAAUUCACCGAAAUGAAGCUUACACCGAACUAUAUAUUUUUAAAUGAAAAGAUCAACUUGUAAAAUGAAAUUGAGGAAAAAAAAUAGGGUCAAGAGAAGUACCGGAGGCAGUACUAAUUUGACGAUAGACAGCGGGAAGCGAGGCAUCGUACAACGCCGGAGCAAGGGACGAAACGAUUCGAGUCUGAAAUCGGGCGGGUUUGGGAGGGCAUCGGAUCGGCCCAAGAGUUCGGAGGUGGAUAGAGAGUCUUCCCCACAUGGUUUUCCUCCAGAAUUCCGAUUAGGAAUUGGAAUGCGAUCCGAGGUAGCCUCUGCUUCUGUGAGAAAUGAUAUCUCCUAGUAGCGGAAUUUUUGGGAGAAAAUUUUGACAAACAAUACGCGGCAUUGAAUAAUUGGAAUAUG
rnacentral:lncRNA from 1 species